AGGAAGAAAUAGCAUCUGCAAGAGAACAACAACAUCCAGAAUGCAACGCGAAUUUCGUUUCACACGUCAAGCACGUACGCUCCGUUUCUUCCUCUUUGACCUCAAUGGCAGACGACGAAAGACGUUCAAGGAAUUCAAGGGGAGGUGACUCCAUGCCCAGCUGACAUCAGGCAAAGAGAACUCAGCUGGAUGUCAUCCCUCUGUGUGUGGCGGUGGGUGUGGUGCCCCGGUCUCCUGCGUCUGUGUGUGGUGAGACGGACAGACAGACGGACAGACACGCUGAGAGACAGUGACAGGCCAAACAACAGGUGUGUCCUUUGAACGUAGCACACCGCCAUGCGAACACCCUCUUUACCUUUAGGCCGCUGAUUCUUGUUUUCAUCAGCAGAAGAAAAGAGCUCUCCUCCUCCUUUUUGCUGACUCUCUUUCAUGUGUCCCAGACAGCGUGCCCCCUCUCUUUCUCUCUGAGCCUUUAUGUCUCUCUCUACUGUCGCUUCUCAUUUCUUUACUUAGCUAUGUCUACUCCUGGACCGUGUGUCACUUUGCCGUGGAAUGGGCCAAUCACAGGCCUCCACCUCAGCCAUUGUUCACACCUGGAGGUGAUCUCUGGCUUCCUGAUCCUGUCAGCUGAUCUAUUUCUGACAGUUGACAACACGUCUGAUGCUGGAGUUGAACAUGGGGGAAACGGGGG